GUGGGGAAUAUUGCACAAUGGGCGCAAGCCUGAUGCAGCCAUGCCGCGUGUAUGAAGAAGGCCUUCGGGUUGUAAAGUACUUUCAGCGGGGAGGAAGGGAGUAAAGUUAAUACCUUUGCUCAUUGACGUUACCCGCAGAAGAAGCACCGGCUAACUCCGUGCCAGCAGCCGCGGUAAUACGGAGGGUGCAAGCGUUAAUCGGAAUUACUGGGCGUAAAGCGCACGCAGGCGGUUUGUUAAGUCAGAUGUGAAAUCCCCGGGCUCAACCUGGGAACUGCAUCUGAUACUGGCAAGCUUGAGUCUCGUAGAGGGGGGUAGAAUUCCAGGUGUAGCGGUGAAAUGCGUAGAGAUCUGGAGGAAUACCGGUGGCGAAGGCGGCCCCCCGGACGAAGACUGACGCUCAGGUGCGAAAGCGUGGGGAGCAAACAGGAUUAGAUACCCGUGUAGUCC
rnacentral:rRNA from 1 species